CGCAGUUCCGGCUGCUGUUCCUGGCCGCGGCCUCCGGCGCCGCCGCCCUGGCGUUCGAGUCGACCAACGGCUGGUUCUACCCCGGUAACUUCGGC
rnacentral:tRNA from 1 species